rnacentral:rRNA from 1 species
GGGCACUCUAGAGGGACUGCCGGUGUCAAAACCGGAGGAAGGUGGGGAUGACGUCAAGUCCUCAUGGCCUUUAUGUCUAGGGCUACACACGUACUACAAUGGCCGGUACAAAGGGCAGCCACUCAGCGAUGAGGCGCUAAUCCCAUAAAGCCGGUCUCAGUCCGGAUCGCAGUCUGCAACUCGACUGCGUGAAGUUGGAAUCGCUAGUAAUCGUAGAUCAGCAUGCUACGGUGAAUACGGUUCCCGGGCCUU